ACAUGCUGGGCCUUGGUGCGGACACAUGUCUUGACCAACAUCGGCACAAGCCGGCCCUUAGUGCGGGCACUUACCUCAAUCAUCAUUGGCACAUGCCAUGUCUCGAUCAGCAUCAACAGAAGAUGGGCCCUGGUGUGGGCGAUUACCUCGAACACUAUCGGUAUGUACUAGGCCUUGGUACGGGCAGAUGCCUCGACCACCAUCGAUGCAUUAAUGCCUUAAUCAGCAUGCGCACAAGCUGGAAUCGAUGUGGGUACCUGCCUCAAUCAACAUAGGCAGAAGAUGGCCCUUGGCAUGGGUAGUCACAUCGAACACCAUCGACACACGUUGGCCUAUGGUAUGGGCACAUGCCUCGACCACCAUCGGCACCUUCUCACCCUCAGUACGGGAUAUGCCUGCUUGGAAAAAGUGUCCCCAUUUCAGACACUUUAAGGUCUACUGGUAGCAUAUCUGCAAAAUCUCUAAUGCUCUUUAUGGGUGGUGGUUCGGCACCCCCUCUCCCCUCCUUCCACGGGGGAGUAGUUGUGAAUGAUAGGCCUCCCAUUGCGUACACCCAGGGCAACGUCACUCGAGUGAAAUACAGGCCGUACAUGCCUUUUGACCAUUUUAUCGGAUGAUUGGUUGCUCUGGUGACCGACAGGUGCCCAUGGCCUCAACCGGUUGGUUGGGUCGUCCGGUCUGCCUCACGGUGAGCAUCGGUCUACUCGUUGCUACUACCGGUGAUAUGCUUCUGGACUAUUACCCGGGUCAUUCCUCUGGCACUAUUACUUUGAAGAAAUUAGAGUGCUCAAAGCAGGCCUAUGCUUGUAUACAUUAGCAUGGGAUAACAUCAUAAGAUUUUGGUCAUAUUGUGUUAGCCUUCGGAUCGUAGUAAUGAUUAACAGAGAUGGUCGGAGGCAUUUGUAUUUCAUAGUCAGAGGUGAAAUUCUUGGAUUUAUGAAAGAUGAACAACUGUGAAAGCAUUUGCCAAGGAUGUUUUCAUUAAUCAAGAAUGAAAGUUAGGGGCUCAAAGACGAUCAGAUACCGUCCUAGUCUCAACCAUAAACGAUGUCGACUAGGGAUUGGUGGAUGUUACUUUUAGGACUCCGUCGACACCUUAUGAGAAAUCAAAGUCUUUGGGUUCUUGGGGGAGUAUGGUCACAACAUUGAAACUUAAAGGAAUUGAUGGAAGGGCACCACCAGGAGUGGAGCCUACGAUUUAAUUUGACUCAACAUGAGGAAACUUACUAGGUCCAGACAUAGUAAAGAUCGACAAACUGAGAGCUCUUUCUCGAUUCUAUGGGUGGUGGUGCAUGGCCGUUCUUAGUUGGUGGAGUGAUUUGUCUGGUUAAUUCCAUUAACGAACGAGACCUCAGCUUCUUAACUAGCUAUGCAAAGGUGAUCCUUCGUGGCUAGCUUCUUAUAGGGACUAUGGCUGCUUAGGCCAAGGAAGUUUGAGGCAAUAACAGGUCUAUGAUGCCCUUAGAUGUUUUGGGCCGCACGCGCGCUACACUGAUGUAUUCAACGAGUCUAUAGCCUUGGCUGAUAGGCCUGGGUAAUCUUUGAAAUUUCAUCGUGAUGGAGAUAGAUCAUUGCAAUUAUUGGUCUUCAAUGAGGAAUUCCUAGUAAGCAUGAGUCAUUAGCUCGUGUUGACUACGUCCCUGCCUUUUGUACACAUCGCCCGUCUCUCCUACCGAUUGAAUGGUCUCUUGAAGUGUUUGGAUCGCGGUGAGGUGGACGGUUCACCGCCCCCGACAUCGCGAGAAGUCCACUGAACCUUAUCAUUUAGUGGAAGGAGAAGUCGUAACAAGGUUUCUGUAGGUGAACCUAUGGAAA
rnacentral:rRNA from 1 species